rnacentral:rRNA from 1 species
GACAGAGGUGCCGAGCGUUAGGCGGAAUCACUGGGCUUAAAGCGUGUGUAGGCGGACUUGUAAGUACCUUGUGAAAUCCCACAGCUCAACUGUGGAACUGCUUGGUAUACUGCUUGUCUUGAGCCACUUAGGGGCAGUCGGAACAGACGGUGGAGCGGUGAAAUGCGUAGAUAUCAGGAGGAACACCGAAGGCGAAGGCAGUGUCCUGGGGAGUACCUGACGCUCAGGUGCGAAAGCCAGGGGAGCGAACGGG